UACGUAGGGUGCAAGCGUUAAUCGGAAUUACUGGGCGUAAAGCGUGCGCAGGCGGUGAUGUAAGACAGAUGUGAAAUCCCCGGGCUCAACCUGGGAACUGCAUUUGUGACUGCAUCGCUGGAGUGCGGCAGAGGGGGAUGGAAUUCCGCGUGUAGCAGUGAAAUGCGAAGAUAUGCGGAGGAACACCGAUGGCGAAGGCAAUCCCCUGGGCCUGCACUGACGCUCAUGCACGAAAGCGUGGGGAGCAAACAGG
rnacentral:rRNA from 1 species